AGGGGUAUCGCCAAGCGGUAAGGCAACGGCUUUUGAUGCCGUCAUACGCAAGUUCGAAUCUUGCUACCCCUGCCA
rnacentral:tRNA from 1 species